rnacentral:lncRNA from 1 species
AUGCUCCCCACCCCCACGCGGCUGGAGGACUUGGGGGGCCUCCCUCUCCGCCUCGCACUGGGGGAAGGAAGGAGGCGGAGGGAGGAAGAGCGAGAGGAAGAAGCGGACGCCCCGCAGGGGCCUCGCGCGGCGGCAGAGCCCCUUCCAGACGGAGGGGGUGCGGGGAGAGCCGGGACGGGGGCGCCGCCGCGGCCCGGCAGCGCUGUCCGCUUACCCUUCGCCGCCGCCGCCGCUUCCCCCUCCUCCUCCUCGGCCGCCGCCGCCGCCUCUCCCACUAGGGCAGCCGUCUCCACCGUCGCCGCCGCCUCCACCACCACGGCCGCCGCCAGCGCCGCCGCCGCCUCCGAUUCCGCCCGGCAGGGGGGACACCUCAGCCCGCCCGCCCUCCCCGCUCAGCCCCUCCGCUCGGCCGCCGCCGCCACCUCCCUCCGGCCGCCGCCGCCGCCGCCGCCGCCGCUCGUGGCUGAGGGGGAGGGGUGGGGGUCGGGCUGGGGCGCCCCGCCGGCGGCUGCUGCGGCUCCCGAACGCGGGCUGGGUGGCUCCUCGGCCGCCGCUCGCUCGGCCUCCCGCCCUCCCUCGGCCCCCACCCCCCUCGCGCUCGCCUGCCCUCCCCCCACCCCCCCAGCUCUCGCUCGCUCUCGCCGCCGCUCCGCCAGCCCAGUGCAAAUCAAAAUACUGUCACACAAUAUGGCGGCGCGACGGCCGGCAAACACCGCGAGAUCUGCGGCCGCGGCCGAGGCGGCGGCUGUGACGAGGCCUCCCCCGGCCGGGCGGCGGCGGCGGCGGUGGCGCGGGGAUGCUCUGCCUCCGCCUCGCCCCCUCCCCCGGCGCGCUCCCUCGCUCGCAGGCUCCCCGCCCGCGCGCGGAGCUGGAGGGAAGGCGCGGACCGGCGCGGACCGGCGCGCGAGCGGGGGCGCGGGGCCGAAGCCCGGGAGCGCCUGGGAGCCUGCUUUUGUCUGCCCCGGGCCGCCGGCGCUCGGAGGGGGCGUGGGCGCAGGAGAGGGGCAGGUUGUCCCGGCCGCGGGGCCGAUCGCGGUGUGGCCCGCGGGGAGGAAGCAGCUGGAGCUCCCGUCGCUCGGCCCGUCCGGAAGCGGGCGGCGGGUCCCCGGGGCGGGGGCCUCGUGCUCGGGCGGGGGGCGGACUCGACCCCGCGGGGCUGCGGCCGCCUCCGGGCCGGGCCGCGCGGCGAGGGCAGCAGGUGGGCCCGCGGCGGCGGCGAGUGUCGGGCCGCGGCGGGGCGGGGACACACCCCCUUGGAGGCCGGCGGCGCGGCGGCCGCCAGCCCCGGGGGGACCGUGGAGGAGCCCAGAGUCGCCCCCGGCGUGUGCGGGAGGCGUCCUGGCAGCCUCGCAGCUCGCAGCUCCCAGACUGGAGAAAAGCGUCGGGCUCUGA